rnacentral:rRNA from 2 species
GGGUAAGUACGGGGUCGCGGCGGGUGGGAGACGUAGGGUGCGAGGUGUGUCCGGAAUGAUGGGGCGUAAAGGGCUCGUAUGCGGCCUGUCGCGUCGGAUGUGAAAGCCCGGGGCUUAACCCCGGGUCUGCAGUCGAUACGGGCAGGCUGGAGUGUGGUAGGGGAGAUCGGAAUUCCUGGUGUAGCGGUGAAAUGCGCAGAUAUCAGGAGGAACACCGGUGGCGAAGGCGGAUCUCUGGGCCAUUACUGACGCUGAGGAGCGAAAGCGUGGGGAGCAAACAGGAUUAGAUACCCCGGUAGC